GAGACAGGGUCUCGCUUUUCCCUUAGGCUGGAAUGCAGUGCUGUGAUCACUACUCACUGCAGCCUUGACCUCCUGGGCUCAAGUAAUCCUCUCAGCUCAGCCUCCUGAGUAGCUAGGACUACAGGUCUGCACCACCAUGCCUGCAAUUUUUUUUUUGUAGAGAUGGGGUCUCACUUUGUUGUCCAGGCUGGUCUUGAACUCCUGGACUCAAGUGAUCCUUCCACCUUGGCCUCCCAAAGUGCUCGGAUUACAGGUGGGAGUCACCAUGCCCGGCCAGCCAAUUCAUUUUUGUAUCAUAGAAGGUUUCUUUCAAAGUAAGCAUAGUGGCAGAUUUGAGUAGUUGCAACAGAUAUGAUAACACUCACAAAGCCAAAAAUAUUUAUUCUUUGACUUUUUAUAGGAAAAAUUUGGUAACUCCUGAUUUAGAGCAUGCAAGAGUAGGCAAAUUAAAAUGACAGGAUAUAAGUUACUGUAAUAUUUGAAAAUUUAUGUUAUGUUUUUGAAGUAGAGAAGUAUGGAGUUAAAUAUUAAUACCUUUUUAAAUGUCCAACUCCUUUUUCUGUGAGGUAGUUUUACAUUUACUUUUAAGUACAAAUAAGGAAAUUAGCAAUAUUUUUAUUAUUGGUGUUCUUUAGGGAGGUUCCACAGUAUUAAAGGGUUAUUACCAACUUUUUUCCCUGCCCUAACAUGUAAUGUUAGUGUUUGACCCUUCAUUUAUUCAGUACAAUUAUUUGUCAUACUGUGGAGAAUAUAUCCAGGGCUUAACGUCACUUUGACCAUGAACUCUGGAACAAGCUGUUGGAGGCAGGGCAUCACAGUAAGGCAGUCAGAAUUGGUGACUUUCAGAAAAUGAGGUAAAUCUGUUGUCUGAGUCUGAUCCUAAACUCUCAGUCAGCUAUUGGACUGGAUUCUUCUGAAGCAGAGUAUCUAGAAUAGGAGGGAUGAGCAGACUACAUUUGGAUAAAGAAUUUAUAAGGUACUCUUUAACAAUUUAUAUCAGAGUUAGUUGCUAUCUUUAGCACCAUUGUCCUGAUGGCCUCCACUUCUAGCUAUACAUUGCCUCUUUGAAAUGAGCCAUUUGAGAAAGCAAAUAUAUCAAUUAGAAUGCCUUUAAGAAUAAAAAACUUAAAAAGCAAAGAAAAACAGAAUGCCUUUAGGAAAAAAAUUUAAUAAAACCAACUCAAAAUUGUGCAAAUAAGGAAAUUUUAGUGUUUCCCAUAAUAAAAAUCCUGAGGUAUGGUAGUUUCAGAUAGUUUAGCAUCAUCAGCACCAACUUUUUUUCUGUAUUUUCACUCUGCCAUUCUGAGUAUUUUGGCUUUGACUAGUUCCUCUCAUGGUCACAAAUGCCUAACGCAGUUUUAGGCAUCAUAGGCAGAUCCAACAGUAUCGCAGAAAUAAGUGAGGCUGUUAAUCCACUGUGUCCUUUCUUAAGAGUGAGAAACUCUUUCUCAUAAGUUCUCCUCACUCUCCAGAACUGGGUCAUAUACCAACCCCUAGACCAGUCACCUGGAAUGGGCAUGAAAUAUAGGGCAGAGAUGGACACUUGAAUGAAAUAAAGGUUCUGCUAGCAAAUAAAAAGAGGGAAUGACUAUCAGGUGGGCAACAAAUAACAUCUGCUACACUGUAAUGGGUUUAACAUAAAACCAAAGACCCUGUGCAUUCUGUCAUUUUAUGACAUUUAAACUCCUCUCCAACUUGUGAUACACUGGUAUUUUAAGGCAGCAUACUGGUAUUUUGAGGCCUUCUUUUUUGAAGUUCUUUUGUGUUAACAGUCCCCCUUCUCCCCUGCCACGUUGUGUAAACAAAAAAAAAACUCAUAUUUGGGGAAAUUUUAUCAAAAUGCCAUGUUCUAACCUAUGAGCAAAUCUUUAUUAUGCAAGUAUCUAUUUAGAAUAGUGGUAUGUAAAUAUUAUUCUUCCAUCAGACAAAUAUAACUCUUCCAGUAGGUGAGCUUAAGGUAUGAGUUACACCAAAAAGCUUUAAGGAGCUGUAUUUUACUAUUAGAGGGACUGUGUCCCUCUCAUUAUUUUAAGUGUAAGAAGAAAACUUAAUUUUGCAUUUUGGUCUGAUUAAAAUAAGGGUUGUAGCUAUAGUUUCCCCCACUUUUUUUGCUUAACAACUUAAUUCUUACUCUGAUUUACCUUAUAAUAGCUAAUUUAAAACUAGUUAUUUUUGUUUUUAAAUUAACUGGUAUGUACUCCAAUAGAUAAGAAUUUUAAAAGAAAAAAUAUGUUUUGCUUAGGAAUGUGCCCUCAUUAGUGUUUGUUUUACUUCGUUUAUUAUAAUCUAAAAUGAUUUGAUACAUUUUCUUUUUACAUGUCUUAGAAUUUAACUUGGGUCGUCUACAAGUUUCCAAAGAAUUAGUAAAUGAUGUCAUUCUCCCGAAAUGGGCUAAAUCAGCUGAAGAUUUCAUCUAUAAACAUAGGAAAGCUUUGGAGUCUGAAUAUGUUUCAGCUCAUCUUCAUGAAUGGAUAGAUCUGAUCUUUGGCUAUAAACAGAGGGGACCAGCUGCAGUAGAGGCACUCAACGUUUUCUAUUAUUGUAGUUAUGAAGGAGCUGUGGAUCUGGAUGCCUUAACAGAUGAGAAAGAAAGAAAAGCCUUAGAAGGGAUGAUUAAUAAUUUUGGGCAAACACCCUGUCAAUUAUUAAAGGUAAGUCAUAUGCGUUAUCAACAACUUAAGAAGUAGAUUUAAGUCAACUUAAGAAGUAGAUUUAAGUACAUAACAAAAUAUUGCAGUCAAGAUCCAUGUAUAUAGCCAAUUACUCUCAGUCACAGAAAGAUUUCUAUUUGCUCAGAAAGUCUUAUAUUAUUUCCAAGAGGAAAAACUGAGUACCUAUUAGGGUAUGCCAUUAAAACUGUCCUCAUGCUGGGACUCAUUCCACAUGUAAAACUUCUAAUAGCUAACAUCUGCCCAAAAAGGCACUUGCUUUCCAGAGCCCAAACCCAGUCUUAAGAAUC
rnacentral:sRNA from 1 species